AGUGAACGCUGGCGGUAGGCCUAACACAUGCAAGUCGAACGGCAGCACAGGAGAGCUUGCUCUCUGGGUGGCGAGUGGCGGACGGGUGAGGAAUACAUCGGAAUCUACUUUUUCGUGAGGGAUAACGUAGGGAAACUUACGCUAAUACCGCAUACGACCUACGGGUGAAGGCAGGGGAUCUUCGGACCUUGCGCGAUUGAAUGAGCCGAUGUCGGAUUAGCUAGUUGGCGGGGUAAAGGCCCACCAAGGCAACGAUCCGUAGGUGGUCUGAGAGGAUGAUCAGCCACACUGGAACUGAGACACGGUCCAGACUCCUACGGGAGGCAGCAGUGGGGAAUAUUGGACAAUGGGCGCAAGCCUGAUCCAGCCAUACCGCGUGGGUGAAGAAGGCCUUCGGGUUGUAAAGCCCUUUUGUUGGGAAAGAAAUCCAGCUGGUUAAUACCCGGUUGGGAUGACGGUACCCAAAGAAUAAGCACCGGCUAACUUCGUGCCAGCCGCCGCGGUAA
rnacentral:rRNA from 1 species